GUUUAGGGUGCCAAGGCCUGCAUCUUUUUGGAUCACUCAGAAACAUAAGCCCAUUCUGUUAACUCAGUGAGGCUUUCCUAGCUACAGCUUGCAUUUCUUCAGUGGGGUCUGAAUGCUCCUCCUGGGCUCCCUGAGACACUGAAGCACAAAUUGUCGCAUUUCGGGAGCUCUCAGUUGUGUGUGGGAGCCCUGUCAUUUGGUCUUUCCCUGUCCAUGGGCCCUUUUUGCAGUCCUGGUUGCAUGUUACUGUUUCUUCCAUGUGAGAAGCGUGGGUUUGAACCUUUGGGGAGUCACAUACCUCGGAGAAUCCUGUGAAUGUGUGCUCAGUCGUGUCCAACUCUUUGGGGCCCUAUGGACUGUAGCCUGCCAGACUCCUCUGUCCAUGGAAUUCUCCAGGCAAGAAUAUUGGAGUGGGUUGCGAUGAUUUCCUAUUCCAGGGGAACUUGCUGACCCAGGGAUUGAACCCUCGUCUCC
ensembl:lncRNA